rnacentral:rRNA from 1 species
AUUGAACGCUGGCGGCAUGCCUUACACAUGCAAGUCGAACGGUAACGGGACUUCGGGUGCCGACGAGUGGCGAACGGGUGAGUAAUACAUCGGAACGUGCCCGAUCGUGGGGGAUAACGAGGCGAAAGCUUUGCUAAUACCGCAUACGAUCUACGGAUGAAAGCAGGGGACCGCAAGGCCUUGCGCGGACGGAGCGGCCGAUGGCAGAUUAGGUAGUUGGUGGGAUAAAAGCUUACCAAGCCGACGAUCUGUAGCUGGUCUGAGAGGAUGAUCAGCCACACUGGGACUGAGACACGGCCCAGACUCCUACGGGAGGCAGCAGUGGGGAAUUUUGGACAAAGGGCGCAAGCCUGAUCCAGCCAUGCCGCGUGCAGGAUGAAGGCCUUCGGGUUGUAAACUGCUUUUGUACGGAACGAAAAGCCUUCUUUUAAUACAGGAGGGUCAUGACGGUACCGUAAGAAUAAGCACCGGCUAACUACGUG